GCCUGGGUGGCUCAGUCGGUUGAGCAUCUGACUUCACCUCAGGUCGUGAUCUCACGGUCCGUGAGUUCGAGCCCCACGUCGGGCU
rnacentral:tRNA from 1 species